CGGAUGCAGAGGAAGGACGUGCAGCAGCGAAGCACGACUUCUGAAGCGACAUUUUCUGCAUAAGGUUCAAAGGGCGCACACGCGUUUGCAGGCGACCCUCCUGGCUGAUUCCUGGGCCCGCUUAGAGCACCCAUCACUCUGGGGGAACUGUCUGAGCUGCUAUCCAGAAUGAACUGGAGGAAAGACCAAGGUUUAUUCCACAUUUUGGAAUGUCCUGGGCCCUGUCUUCCUCGAGGCUGUGGAAGAAGUGCUGACCCGAGGUAUGUCAUUGGAGUGCCUGAUGACCAUGUGCCUGACAGCUACCCAACCAGAACUGUGAAGGCCCUACAACAUUCCUGGGUUUACCAUCUUCUAUAGGAGAUUCAUCAGCGGUUUCAGCCCCAUCGCCGUCCACCUCACGGCCCUCAUGGCAGGUAAGGAGACUCGUUUGAUUCUGAGUGAACAGGCGCAGUGAGCUUUCAGUAACCUGAAGAACCGCUUCAUGACAGUGCCUAUAUGGUGUCUUGCUAUUACUAAAGAAAUCAUAAAUUCCUUGUUGUGUCGGAAAAUUUCAAAAGAGAAUGUCAGGCCAUCCAUCAGUUAAAGCUGAAGGACAUGCUGUCACGCCCUCCACUGCACCCCUAACAAGGACACCUGAGGCUAAUCAGGACGGGAGAACCUCCAAGACUUCCACGAUAUCGACCUAUUGUUUCAUCCUUCAAGACCAUGUCCCUGGAUUCGCUUCCCCAAACAAUGUGUACGAAUCUACCGGACUGUUCUUCUUUCUCUGAGCACGAUACUUGCCUUGUUCCUCCAGCUCACAAUAAAGAUCCUGUGCUUGGGUUCA
rnacentral:lncRNA from 1 species